UUAAAUUGAAGAGUUUGAUCAUGGCUCAGAUUGAACGCUGGCGGCAGGCCUAACACAUGCAAGUCGAGCGGAAACGAGUUAUCUGAACCUUCGGGGAACGAUAACGGCGUCGAGCGGCGGACGGGUGAGUAAUGCCUAGGAAAUUGCCCUGA
rnacentral:rRNA from 1 species